UGAGGAAUAUUGGACAAUGGGCGCAAGCCUGAUCCAGCCAUGCCGCGUGAGUGAUGAAGGCCCUAGGGUUGUAAAGCUCUUUCACCGGUGAAGAUAAUGACGGUAACCGGAGAAGAAGCCCCGGCUAACUUCGUGCCAGCAGCCGCGGUAAUACGAAGGGGGCUAGCGUUGUUCGGAUUUACUGGGCGUAAAGCGCACGUAGGCGGACUUUUAAGUCAGGGGUGAAAUCCCGGGGCUCAACCCCGGAACUGCCUUUGAUACUGGAAGUCUUGAGUAUGGUAGAGGUGAGUGGAAUUCCGAGUGUAGAGGUGAAAUUCGUAGAUAUUCGGAGGAACACCAGUGGCGAAGGCGGCUCACUGGACCAUUACUGACGCUGAGGUGCGAAAGCGUGGGGAGCAAACAGG
rnacentral:rRNA from 1 species